CUCUCUUCUCACUUUGCUCUAUUUUUCUAUUUCAUUUUGUCUCAAACACCCACAAUCCUCUUUCACACUCCCUCACUCUCCCACCAGUGCAUCAAUCCACCGCCUCCACCAUUAUCUUCUGGCGAAAAAGCUCCAUAAAAACCUCUUAAGCUCCUACAUCUCAUCUUAUUUAAGGUUCUAACUAAUCUCCUUUGGAGUUUUGGAACUAAGCUUUUUGCGGGUUGCAAGGUAAGUAGCUUUUAAUGGGAUUUUUGGAAAAUAACCAUGUUGUAUAAACAUUGUUUUCGGGUCAAACACAUUUUGGAAAAUUAAUGGUGGAACUAUGUUUUUCUAAAAAGUGUUAUGUUGUGACCCUACUAUAUAUGAUUAUAUAUGAAAGUGCAUAUUUUUAUUGCAUAUGGGGAAUUGCAUGAUUUGUUAGCAUGGAAAAGACUAGCAUCUUUGAUUGAAUUUUUGAGAAUGCGUUUUAUGGAUUCAUUGCAUUAUUUGCAAAUUCUAAAGAUGCUUUAUCUUAGCUUGUAUUAUUUGGGAAAUUUACACAAAAUAUUUAUGUCAAGAAAUAGUUUAGAGGACUUUGAGAAUAUUAUGGCUAUUUGGUUAUUGAAAUAUUUUAUAAAACUACUUGGAAGUGAACUGUGUAUUUUAAAUACAUUAACUUGUGAGCUUUUGACAUGGUUUUGUCAUUGUGCCAUGAUAUUGGUGAUUAUCCUGUCUGUGUGACGACCCGUUUGUGUGACGACCCCAUCUGUGUGAUGAUCCCGUCUAUGUGACGAACUGUUUGUGUGACAACUCGUCUUUGUGACGACUCGUCGGUGUGACAACCUUGUCAUGUGGCCUUGGGUGUGGUUUCUGGAUUUGAAAUGGUAUUGGAUAUUUUAUGGCUCACAAUGAAUAAUAUGUAGUUUCAUAAUUACUUUGAGAAGCUUGGUGCUACAAUAUGUCUAUUAUUCUUGUCAUGAUGUUAAGGAAAUUUAUUUUGCAGAA